GUCCACAGCCAUACAACCCUGAAUGUGCCCAAUUUCAUCUGAUCUUGGAAGCUAAGCAGGGUUGGGCCUGGUUAGUACUUGGAUGGGAGAUUAUAACUGAGUGCUGUUGCCU
rnacentral:rRNA from 1 species